rnacentral:rRNA from 1 species
GUCGGGUGAACUGUGCCAAGGUCUUGCGCUGUGUACUUGAUUGCGUUUUGUAGGAUCUUUUCAAGGCGGGCUUGGGUCAGUGAGUACCGUUGGUUAUUUUCGAUUCGGCUCAGGAACAAGUUGCACAUUCGAUGUAAGACACCGCGGUUCGCACCAGUUUUGUGGUUAUGGUCAAGGACUGCGUCGGCGGGCUCGAUGUAUUCUUGGCACAGGCAGCAGAUUCCGUUUUGCUUUUUCCAUUGCUGUUCGCGUGAGGGAUGAAGGCCUCUGGGCUGUAAACCUCUUUUAUCAAGGAAGAAGAUCUGACGGUACUUGAUGAAUAAGCCACGGCUAAUUCCGUGCCAGCAGCCGCGGUAAUACGGGAGUGGCAAGCGUUAUCCGGAAUUAUUGGGCGUAAAGCGUCCGCAGGCGGCCUUUUAAGUCUGUCGUUAAAGCGUGGAGCUUAACUCCAUUUAAGCGAUGGAAACUGGAAGGCUAGAGUGUGGUAGGGGCAGAGGGAAUUCCCGGUGUAGCGGUGAAAUGCGUAGAUAUCGGGAAGAACACCAGUGGCGAAGGCGCUCUGCUGGGCCAUAACUGACGCUCAUGGACGAAAGCCAGGGGAGCGAAAGGGAUUAGAUACCCCUGUAGUCCUGGCCGUAAACGAUGAACACUAGGUGUCGGGGGAAUCGACCCCCUCGGUGUCGUAGCCAACGCGUUAAGUGUUCCGCCUGGGGAGUACGCACGCAAGUGUGAAACUCAAAGGAAUUGACGGGGGCCCGCACAAGCGGUGGAGUAUGUGGUUUAAUUCGAUGCAACGCGAAGAACCUUACCAGGGUUUGACAUCCUGCGAAUCCCUUGGAAACGAGGGAGUGCCUUCGGGAGCGCAGAGACAGGUGGUGCAUGGCUGUCGUCAGCUCGUGUCGUGAGAUGUUGGGUUAAGUCCCGCAACGAGCGCAACCCACGUCGUUAGUUGCCAGCAUUCAGUUGGGCACUCUAGCGAGACCGCCGGUGAUAAACCGGAGGAAGGUGUGGAUGACGUCAAGUCAUCAUGCCCCUUACAUCCUGGGCUACACACGUACUACAAUGCUACGGACAAAGGGCAGCAAACUCGCGAGAGCUAGCAAAUCCCAUAAACCGUGGCUCAGUUCAGAUCGUAGGCUGCAACUCGCCUACGUGAAGGAGGAAUAUCGUGACUGGGAAACUAAAUUGUAUCGUGACUGGGAAACAGAUCGGAAGAGCACACGUCUGAACUCCA